AUUGAACGCUGGCGGCAGGCCUAACACAUGCAAGUCGAACGAGUGGCGGACGGGUGAGUAAUGUCUGGGAAACUGCCUGAUGGAGGGGGAUAACUACUGGAAACGGUAGCUAAUACCGCAUACCAUCAGAUGUGCCCAGAUGGGAUUAGCUUGUUGGUGGGGUAACGGCUCACCAAGGCGACGAUCCCUAGCGGGUCUGAGCGGAUGACCAGCGAAACUGGAACUGAGACACGGUCCAAGGUACUACGAGAGGCAGCAGUGGGGAAUAUGGCACAAUGGGCGGCAGCCUGCUGAAGCGAUGCGGAGUGUAUGAAGAAGGCGUUCGGGUUGUAAAGUACUUUCCGGGGGGAGGCGUUACCCGCAGGAGAAGCACCGGGUAACUCCGUGCCAGGAGCCGGGGUAAUAG
rnacentral:rRNA from 1 species